AGAUACUGUGAAUUGGUGAAUUUGAGACGGAACAAGUACAGAGUACAGCACUCAACAGUGCAUGUGUGACUAUUCUCAGGCUUCUUUGCGUAUUUUUAAUGGAUUAUUAGUUUUUGUUGUUGAGUUGUUGAGUCCCUUGUAAAUUAUGGAUAUUAGUCCUUGUUGGAUAAAUGGUUUUCAAAUAUUUGUUCCCAUUCCGAGGGUUGCCUGUUUGUAUUCCUUUUUCUAUGCAGAAGCUUUUUAGUUUAAUUAAGUCCCAUUUGUCUAUCUGCCAAUUUUGGAUAUCAACAGUUUCCAUUGUGGCACCAUUCCCUGGGGACCACCCUGCCACCUAGCGGCAGGUUGAUUGAAUUGGCUCUCUUCCAUCACGGAAGUGACAGA
rnacentral:lncRNA from 1 species